AUGCAAGUCGAGCGAACAGAUAAGGAGCUUGCUCCUUUGACGUUAGCGGCGGACGGGUGAGUAACACGUGGGUAACCUACCUAUAAGACUGGAAUAACUCCGGGAAACCGGGGCUAAUGCCGGAUAACAUAUAGAACCGCAUGGUUCUAUAGUGAAAGAUGGUUUUGCUAUCACUUAUAGAUGGACCCGCGCCGUAUUAGCUAGUUGGUAAGGUAAUGGCUUACCAAGGCGACGAUACGUAGCCGACCUGAGAGGGUGAUCGGCCACACUGGAACUGAGACACGGUCCAGACUCCUACGGGAGGCAGCAGUAGGGAAUCUUCCGCAAUGGGCGAAAGCCUGACGGAGCAACGCCGCGUGAGUGAUGAAGGGUUUCGGCUCGUAAAACUCUGUUAUUAGGGAAGAACAUAUGUGUAAGUAACUGUGCACAUCUUGACGGUACCUAAUCAGAAAGCCACGGCUAACUACGUGCCAGCAGCCGCGGUAAUACGUAGGUGGCAAGCGUUAUCCGGAAUUAUUGGGCGUAAAGCGCGCGUAGGCGGUUUCUUAAGUCUGAUGUGAAAGCCCACGGCUCAACCGUGGAGGGUCAUUGGAAACUGGGAAACUUGAGUGCAGAAGAGGAAAGUGGAAUUCCAUGUGUAGCGGUGAAAUGCGCAGAGAUAUGGAGGAACACCAGUGGCGAAGGCGACUUUCUGGUCUGUAACUGACGC
rnacentral:rRNA from 1 species